ensembl:lncRNA
CGCUUGGGAAGGGCAUCCAAACCUCAAAUCACUCACUUCAUCCAGCCAAAGGUGGAGGAGACGGUGCAGGUAGGAGCAUGGCGGUGCCACCCUGGACUGCUCAUGAGGCUUCUGCCCACUGUGCCUGCCAGCCUGGGCUCCCGCCAGGUCUUCAGCAGUGAGAGCCGAGCCGGGCUGGGCCUGCUGCUCUGUCAUGUCCAACGGCAGCCAUGGAGGUGGGGAGCAGCUGGGAGUGUGCUGUUGAACAGGAGCUGCUCAUUUUACAGGCCGAUUUCCCAGGGUUGCUGGCCCUGGCAGGAGUGGUGCAGACGGCUGCAUCUUCGAGACCGCUUGUCCUCUCUGACCUUCAGCAGCCAGACCACAGGCAGCAGCGGGGCUGUCGUGUUGGGGUUCACCUUCGCAGCCUUCUUUGUCUCAUUGUUUUAAAACCUUAGUAGAACUUUGUUUGCAGAGUGGUACCAGGCACGGAGUACUUCCUUGGAAGGAAUUUUAAAGCAGCCUGGGUUGGCAAAGGGCAUGCGAAGAACCAAUCACGCUUGAAUGUGUGUGCACAGUGGGGAAGAAAACAAUACCACUUAAAGUGUUCUUUCGAUGUUCAACCCAACUUUCCCUUCGGAUUCUUGAGCCUGGAUACCCUUUAGAAGCACAUACAAAGCAAACUCCAGUCUUUGAGAGCAUCAAGACUCGGCUCUUUCAGCCCGGAUAUGACUGAUGCAGCUUGACAGGCUCCUCCACCUAGAGCAGCUGCGAAGUCCCAGGGACUGAGUAAUGUGAUUUGGGGCAGGUUUUUCUUCGGUGCCUUGCGAUGAGGAACCAGCUUAACAAGCAGUCAUGUCUGAGUUCUCACUUCACCGCAAACCUUGCUUGAGGACUUCAGAGCUUUAAAGGGCUCUGUUCCCAGAGGAGAAGCAGGAGAAGGCACCUAGAGCCCUGUUCUAUCAAUGGAGAAACUGAAGCAUGAAGAGGUAAAGCGAGGUCACCAAGGGAGCAGGUGAUAGACUGGCUUCUGGUCUCUUUCUCUAAGCCCUGCUCCACUUUGUCUCUCUCAUGAACAGCUAUUGAUAAUUUCAUCUCCAGGCCAAACACUGCCAACCAGGACCCACAGUGUGCAAACGGGAUCUCCAGCGUCCUGAGCAAAGCCAAGAUCUGAGCAGAAAGGGAAGAGAGACAAGGGUUACCACUGGAGGCAGAUAGACCGACCACUCACAGCGAUGCCCCUGGAACAGGGAAGUGAUGGGUGGAAAGCUGCACGUGAUCGGCCCAUUUGUACUAACAAAGAUCAUAUAAACCUAAUGGCAAGACUUCCUAAACAUUUAUUUAACCACCUAUUUUUGACACUAAGAGAUUUUUCUUCCUUGGUAUCAGAACUGUGCAGAGAAAUAGACUAAUGACAAAAUAAUUGAAAUUUCAUGUGAAUGUUCAUAUGUUGUGAUAAUGCAUGUCAUUACAUAUAAGUCAACCAAAUGUUUGACUGAAUAUUUCUACUUAAGCUUUAAGUUUGUGACCCAUUUUCCAUUUACAUACUGUGUACUCAAAUACAUACCAUAUCUCUUUAGGUUUUCUGCCUGGCUCCACCACUCAUAAGCUUUGUGACCUUAGGCAAAAGCUCUGAGCCUCAAAUUUCUCCUCUGUAAAUGGGUAAUCAGGCCUAUCUCUGAUUUUAUUUUUUUGCUAAUACUAAUUGAUUUCAGGUUAGUAAAGGUAUUGAACACAAGCCCUGGUACAGAAAGAGUGCUUAGUAAAUGAUAUUUCCUUCCUCCCUGUCUUCUGAUCUCUUCCUUAAGGUGCUUUAAUUGUUGGAAGUACUUUCAUGUUUAUUCCAUACAUACAAUUCAGUAAGGCAGCUCUGCUGCUGCUGCUAAGUCGCUUCAGUCGUGUCUGACUCUGUGCAACCCCAUAGAUGGCAGCCCACCAGGCUCCCGCGUCCCUGGGAUUCUCCAGGCAAGAACACUGGAGUGGGUUGCCAUUUCCUUCUCCAAUGCAUGAAAGUGAAAAGUGAAAGUGAAGUCACUCAGUCGUGUCCGACUCUAGCGACCCCACGGACUGUAGCCUACCAGGCUCCUCCGUCCAUGGGAUUUUCCAGGCAAGAGUACUGGAGUGGGGUGCCAUUGCCUUCUCAGAAGGCAGCUCAGAGGUAUAUAAUUAUCCUUGCCAAAUAUAUGAGAAAACUCUGUCUCAGAGAAGUUAAGUAAUGUGCUCAGAGCCACACAGCAAAUUGGCACAAAACUGGAAGCCUGCCACUAGUCCUGUGAUUCCUCAGACCUGAGAUCUUUCCAGAAGCUUCCAUCCAUGGCGACCAUUGCCUCUACCCAACAGAAGCCCCUCAUCUGUCAUCUACCCCAAACCAAUUUCUAUUCUCACGGGGUAACUCCUUGGCACCCCUUCCCGGGUCUCCCCUGCACUGUUGGCCCCAGCUUCAAUCCCAUCCUGUCCCUCAGGAAUUUCCCUCAGCCUCCACCUGGGGUUGGAUAUUUAGGGACUCACCCAUGCGGCAUAUAAGUCAGAACGAGUUGGGAGGGAAUGUUCUUUUAAAUGAAAGAAGUUGCAUUUGAUACUACCACACACAUUAUGUUGUUAAAUAUCUACAGCAUGAUAAAAUCAUUCCAAAUGUCACCAAUCCCUGGGGGACUUAUUAAUAAUUAAGCAUUUUUAGUUCACUUAGGAAUGCAGAUUCCAUUUAACAGGAAAAUACACACUAAAUCUGUCCAUUAUACUGCAGCUUUCAACAGAAUGUGUUCGAGAUCUCAGCUGGGUUUCCCCAGGACAGAUGACAAAGUUAAUGCAGGUCUUUCCUAAAGCAGCACCCUGAAUUUGUGUUUAUUAGGAGUGUUUAUUAGAGUGACUAAUAAUGGAAGGAAGACGACUUGACAAGUGUUGGGGAGAGCUGAGAGGAGCCUAGAGGAGACUGGAUGAUCCUGAAGAAUGUAGGGCGGAACAGAGACUCAGGGUGUGAGGUAGAGUAAAUUAUUUGUCCCUGCAGUGAUUUUUAAGGUGUUUAAAGGCUGAAAUAGGGAAAGAAGGCCUUGUUCUAUAUGUUUCACUUAAUGAGAAGGCCGCUUACAUUUUUAUUUAGCUAACUCCAAAAAGAUAUAUGGCCCUGGACACACACACACACACACACACACACUUUUCUUUUAAAAGCAGUUUUCUUUAUUUGCUUUGUUUUGUUCAAAAUGAUAUCUGAUGCUCUUUUCUUCAUCUCUGUUUCCUGGGCAAAGUCAGAAUACUGAAUAUUUUGAAAGAAAGAAAGGGAUGCCAGCAGACAGAUUGCCAAUCUCCUCCAUGUCUUUCAGACAUGUACUGUUUUCUUCUAGGCCCACCGAAGAAGAUUCCUUUUGAAGAUGAUCAAGGAGACAAAGGGAGAGAGAGACACAGGUUCCAGGCAAGUGGACCGGUGGGGCAGAGAUUCCCACCCUCCUCUCAGGAAAGAAUCGACGUGGCUAGAGAGGAAUGUGAGAAGAAAUGGGGGGAGGGGAGAGCAACGAAAGCUAUUUAUCUCGCAGCAGCCUUGGGAGAGGAGUAAAGGAGGAGGGGCCGAGUUUCAAAACAACUUGCGGACUUAAGAGACUAUAACAAUGGCGGAGGCAAG